ACCUGAACGGCAGCUUUAGGAGAUCCUGAGCGAGAACCCUGCUGACCUGAGCUUGGACUCCUGACCCCAGCCAAGCCAGGCAUUAUGUCAACUGCCUCCAGGAGGGUGUCCCACUCCCACCUUCCACAGUGGAGCACCUUAGCACCCAGUUCAGAGGCCUGCCCUCUGCCCUUCCUCCUCUUGGCCAACAUGGCAAAACCCUGUCUUACCAAGGGGCAAAGGGAAGGUGUGUGGGUGGAGCAAGAAGGCAGAUUUCAGGAUGGGACAACUGAGGCAGCUGGAGAAAGACAGUUUGGUGCCAUAGAAAAAGCCCUGAGAGAAAGCAGCCCAGGUCUCAUCCCAGCUGGGACACUCCCUUGGGGUAAAUCACCUAACCUCCCUGAACCUCAGUAUCUUCAUCUAUAAAAUAGAGAAAAUAAUAUUCCCACCACAUAGGGUUCUUGUGGAAAACAAAGGGGAUGAUAUACAGGAGAGCUCACUGAAAAGGAAAUGCUGGCCGGGCGUGGUGGCUCAUACCUCUAAUCUCAGCACUUUGGGAGGUCGAGGUGGGUGGAUCACUUGAGGUCAGGAGUUCGAGACCAGCCUGGCCAACAUGGUGAAACCCCAUCUCCACUGAAAACACAAAACAAUUAGCCAGGUGUGGUGGCAUGUGUCUGUAAUUCCAGCUACUCGGGAGGCUGAGGCAGGAGGAUCCCUUGAACCCGGGAGGCAGAGGUUGCAGUGAGCCAAGAUUGUGCCACUGUACUCCAGCUUGGGUGACAGAGCAAAACUCCAUCAAAAACAAAGAAAGGAAGGAAGGAAGGAAGGGAGAGAGAAAGAAAAGAAAAGAAAAGGAAAUGCUAAACAGAGGUCAGUCCAGGUUGUGAAGGGAUGAAGCUGGAGCCUGUGACGGUAUGAGCCACCAGGGAGUGGUGGCCAGGGGCAGCUGGGCUAGGCAGCAGGACCAAACUCUCCCUCCCAGCAGACAGAGGUGGUGGGAGGGGGGGCCUUGCUGAGAUUGUCAUGUGGGUCUGGCCCCAUUCCCUACCUUGAGGUCUACAGGGGCUCAAGACUUUGGGGGAGUCUCUUCCCAUAGUGUUUCUCAGCCUUCACAACUGAAGGAGCAGGCAGAGAUUAGGCAGGGGGUACCUCGGGGCCAUAAACACCCCAGCCCGACCCCACUCACCUGGGCCUUUCUGAUGAGCAGCUUUAGAACUUGCUAUGCUCCAAGUGCUGUGCCAAGACCUGGAGGGAAACAUCACAUGCUCCAUGCCGCCAAGUUGCCUGCAGUUUGGUGGGGGAGACAGGUAAGCAAAUCAUGUCACCUCAAUGCAUAGUGGGAGGCUAUGCAGGACAGGACACCCAGAGAAUAACAAUAGCUCAUAUUUACUGAGCAGGCACCCUGUGCCAGGAAUUGCGCUAAUCCUUUCUAUAACUAUGCUGGGCCUUUAGGGUCCACUGGUGCCUGGGGAUGGGGCAGAGGCCAAAAAGUAGCAUGCAUUACUGUAUCCCUCACUGCCCAUCCCUGUUGGCCAGGGGCACCCUCUCACCUAGCCUGGGGGCAAGGGCUGCUGCAAAGCUUCCGGGGGCCCCUGGGAAGCUCCCAGUGUACAGAGAAGAUGGAGCUGGGCUGUGCUCAGGCUGUGGAUGUGGUGGAGCAAGGAGCCCAGCCGGCUCUGCCUCCUCCUCAGCUGAAAGCCCAGCUCGGAACACAAUGUCUCCAAAAAGAGAAAAAAACCCUUAAAUCCCACUGUUUGUCUUUGGAGCCUGGGAAGCGAGGAUCUAGUGAACAUAAAACGUGCGGGCUGCUCAGAAGUUGCCUUUGAAACCUCCCCAGGCCGGCUUUGUCAAGGAGCAGCAUUGCCUUUCAAAGCUGCUGGGCUCCAAUCUGCCCUCUCCCCUCUCCCCGCUUAACCGUAGCAGGCAGCGGCUAAUCAGUGGGAGAUGUUAAACGCUCCCUAAUUCACAGAAGUCCCCAGGCUUCUGGGGAACUGGUAGCAGGGCCGGUGAGCUGGGUGCCUCCAUUCCUGCUCGCCCCACCUCACGCCAGCCUCACCUCAGCCCGGUCCCCUCUGAAGGCUUCUCCUCUACGUGAAGCUCACCCCUCCUCCCUCAUGCUGGCCUGUGCUCAACCCACCUCUGCUUCCCA
rnacentral:lncRNA from 1 species